rnacentral:rRNA from 1 species
UACGUAGGUGGCAAGCGUUGUCCGGAUUUACUGGGCGUAAAGGGUUCGUAGGCGGUGUGGCAAGUCGGGAGUGAAAUCUCUGGGCUCAACCCAGAGGCUGCUUCCGAAACUGCUGUGCUUGAGUGUGGGAGAGGCGCGUGGAAUUGCAGGUGUAGCGGUGAAAUGCGUAGAUAUCUGCAGGAACACCCGUGGCGAAAGCGGCGCGCUGGACCACAACUGACGCUGAGGAACGAAAGCUAGGGGAGCAAACAGG